CCAAACUGCAGCAGGCUCUCUAGACUGUGAGGGAAGGACUGAAACGACUAGUUGCAUCAGGACAUAAGCUGCUGGAGGAUGAUGACUCCUGGAUUAUCAGAGUCAGGAAUGCAGAAGGAAGCUCAGGUGCAGAAAGUGCAGAAGUUGGAGGCUCCACAGUUUCCUUCACUAGGUGCUCCUCAUUACUCUGACUCCAGUUCAGUCUUCACUGAUGAGUACAGCUACCGAUCGCUAAGCCACUGCCUUCGCUCCAACAUUUUUCCUGGGCCUCCUGUAGAGUGGUCCACUCUGGCUAAAGACUCCUACAUCAGUCACAGUCUGCAGUCUCUGACCCCUGAUCCACAGCACUGGUACGGCCGCAGAACUGAUGACAUGAGUGAGUGCCAUCAUGUCCAUCCAGUAGCCCUGUUUUCUGUGUUAAAGUGUGAAAGAACCAUAAAGAGCAUUAGAAACCUAACGGUCCAUCCUCUCUCCCUGGUUCCUCUGCAGUGAGAUGGACUGAGAGGAACAUCAUCAACCAGAAGCUGCAGAAAGCUCUGAAGGAACUGGAGCAGAAGAAUGUGGCUAAAUGAUUCAGCAAUUUCUAACCCCACACACACACAAACACACCUCUGCAUAUAGAUAUCUGUACGACAUACUUUGAUUGACCACAUGCAGUCACACCUCCAAUAAAACUACAGUGUAAAAUAAUUCUAAUGCCGUU
rnacentral:lncRNA from 1 species